rnacentral:rRNA from 1 species
GGUCAAGCGAACAAGUGCAUGUGGUGGAUGCCUUGGCGAUCACAGGCGAUGAAGGACGCGGUAGCCUGCGAAAAGCUACGGGGAGCUGGCAAACGAGCUUUGAUCCGUAGAUGUCCGAAUGGGGAAACCCACUCCUUUUGGAGUAUCCAUGGCUGAAUACAUAGGCCAUGCGAAGCGAACGCGGUGAACUGAAACAUCUAAGUAACCGCAGGAAAAGAAAUCAACCGAGAUUCCCAAAGUAGUGGCGAGCGAAAUGGGAUGAGCCUUGUACUCUUUAUUUGUAUUGUUAGCCGAACGCUCUGGAAAGUGCGGCCAUAGCAGGUGAUAGCCCUGUAGGCGAAAACAGUAUGAAAGAACUAGGUGUACGACAAGUAGGGCGGGACACGUGAAAUCCUGUCUGAAGAUGGGGGGACCAUCCUCCAAGGCUAAAUACUCGUGAUCGACCGAUAGUGAACCAGUACCGUGAGGGAAAGGCGAAAAGAACCCCGGGAGGGGAGUGAAAUAGAUCCUGAAACCGCAUGCAUACAAACAGUCGGAGCCUCGCAAGGGGUGACGGCGUACCUUUUGUAUAAUGGGUCAGCGACUUACGUUCAGUAGCAAGCUUAACCGUAUAGGGCAGGCGUAGCGAAAGCGAGUCCGAAUAGGGCGUUCAGUUGCUGGGCGUAGACCCG